GGUUCGAAUCCCGGAGAAGGCAUGGAUGUUUGUAUAUGUUUAAUAAAAAUUUGUAAAAACGUUUGUUGUUAAUUUCAAUAUUAACCCUCACGAAUGGGAGGAAACGGCGUUCGCCAAAGUCCUCAUCAUCUUUCUUCUUGUCUAAAAGGCAAGAUUGAUACUGAUACUGAUACUGAUAUGAAAGAAAUGAU